AACGAACGCUGGCGGCGUGCCUAACACAUGCAAGUCGUGCGAGAAAGUUCCUUCGGGAGCGAGUAAAGCGGCGCACGGGUGAGUAACACGUAGGUAACCUGCCCCCCAGUCUGGAACAACUAGAGGAAACUCUAGCUAAUGCCGGAUAAGACCACGGCCCCCUCGGGGGCUGCGGCCAAAGAUGGCCUCUACUUGUACGCUAUCGCUGAGGGAUGGGCCUGCGGCCAUAGCUUGUUGGUGAGGUAACGGCUCACCAAGGCUGUGAUGGCUAGC
rnacentral:rRNA from 1 species